AUAAUAUUUCUUACUGGGCUAGUUGAGCUCACCCUUUUGCUUUCAUUGUUCUCUUCAGGAAAUUAGAACGUAGCGGGGACUAGUCGAGGAACGGAGUGACGGUUCAAAUGAUAGCAUUAGUAGUCCUCACUAUUCUAUGAAAUAGUGUGAAAAUAAAUAUAUUGAGGACUUAUUUUGAGUUUGAAUACUAUUUAGAAGAU
rnacentral:lncRNA from 1 species